rnacentral:misc_RNA from 1 species
GUAUAAGGGACAGGUGAAUCAUCGAAUCUUUGAACGCACAUUGCGCCCCCUGGCAUUCCGGGGGGCAUGCCUGUCCGAGCGUCAUUUCUGCCCUCAAGCACGGCUUGUGUGUUGGGUGUGGUCCCCCCGGGGACCUGCCCGAAAGGCAGCGGCGACGUCCGUCUGGUCCUCGAGCGUAUGGGGCUCUGUCACUCGCUCGGGAAGGACCUGCGGGGGUUGGUCACCACCAUAUUUUACCACGGUUGACCUCGGAUCAGGUAGGAGUUACCCGCUGAACUUAAGCAUAUCAAUAAGCGGAGG